rnacentral:rRNA from 1 species
UACGUAGGGGGCAAGCGUUAAUCGGAAUUACUGGGCGUAAAGCGUGCGCAGGCGGCUUUGCAAGACAGAUGUGAAAUCCCCGGGCUUAACCUGGGAACUGCAUUUGUGACUGCAUGGCUGGAGUGCGGCAGAGGGGGAUGGAAUUCCGCGUGUAGCAGUGAAAUGCGUAGAUAUGCGGAGGAACACCGAUGGCGAAGGCAAUCCCCUGGGCCUGCACUGACGCUCAUGCACGAAAGCGUGGGGAGCAAACGGG